rfam:Mus musculus chromosome 13, GRC primary reference assembly.
UGGGCUGUAGCUCAGUUGGUAGAGUGCUUGCCUGGCAUGCAGAAAGGCCUGGGUUCGAUCCUCAGCACCAUAU